rnacentral:rRNA from 1 species
UGCGUAGGCGGAUUAAUAAGUCAGUGGUGAAAACCUGCAGCUUAGCUGUAGACUUGCCAUUGAUACCGUUAGUCUUGAGUACGGUCAAGGUAGGCGGAAUGUGUAAUGUAGCGGUGAAAUGCUUAGAUAUUACACAGAACACCGAUUGCGAAGGCAGCUUACUGGACCAUUACUGACGCUGAGGCACGAAAGCGUGGGGAGCGAACAGGAUUAGAUACCCUGGUAGUC